rnacentral:rRNA from 1 species
UACAGAGGGGGCAAGCGUUGUCCGGAUUUACUGGGCGUACAGCGCGCGCAGGCGGCCUCGUAUGUGACCGGUGACAUCCUCGGGCUCAACCCGAGGCGGCCCGGUUAGACAGCGGAGCUGGAGGCAGGGAGAGGGAUGUGGAAUACCCGGUGGAGCGGUGAAAUGCGUAGAGAUCGGGUGGAACACCAGCGGCGAAGGCGGCAUCCUGGCCCUGACCUGACGCUGAACGGCGAAAGCUAGGGGAGCAAACGGG